CCCGGGCCUUGUACACACCGCCCGUCACGGCAUGGGAGUUGGUUUUACCCGAAGACGGUGCGCUAACCGCAAGGAGGCAGCCGCCUAAAGUGUGAUCGGUAAUUGGGGUG
rnacentral:rRNA from 1 species